ACCUGGCUGGUUCUGUCAGUGGAGCAAAUGACUCUUGAUCUUGAGGUUGUGAGUUCGAGCCCCACGUUGGGUG
rnacentral:tRNA from 1 species